GGUCUGUAUCAAAUUAACACAUUUCAAAUUAAAAAAUCGAAUUAUUAUUGUUGUUCUUAUUAUUAUUUAGGGGGGCUUAGGAACAUUUUAGGGUAGCUUCAGCACCCCUACAAUGGGCCUAACGACGUCCCUG